rnacentral:rRNA from 1 species
UACAGAGGGUGCGAGCGUUGUCCGGAAUCACUGGGCGUAAAGGGCGCGUAGGUGGCCCGACAAGUCAAUGGUGAAAGCUCGACGCUCAACGUCGAGUCGGCCACUGAUACUGUUGGGCUGGAGCACUGUAGAGGCAGAUGGAAUUCCGGGUGUAGCGGUGGAAUGCGUAGAGAUCCGGAAGAACACCGGUGGCGAAGGCGGUCUGCUGGGCAGUUGCUGACACUGAGGCGCGACAGCGUGGGGAGCAAACAGGG